rnacentral:lncRNA from 1 species
GGAAGAAAGAAGAAUGUUCUUUCAACAUGAGAACUGGUUGAUCAUAUGGCGAGGGUAGAUUGGUUGAUCAUAUGGUGGUUCACUCCCGGUAUACAUGAUUUUCUUUCUCCUUGGCGUAUUCAGUUUUAUGAUAUAUUAUAACAAGUCACACUCUCUUGAUAUGUGAAUGUUAAAUGAGCUGUAACUGUAAGAUAGUUGAAAUUAUUGCCUGCAGGUUGAAUCAUAAGAUAUGUUUGUGUGUUUUGG